CUGUUCCAGUUUUCCAAAAGUUUAUGAAAACCACUUUUGGACAGAAGUUAGGUAUCGACAAAUUUUAACAAUUAAAUGAUUAUUUUUGAGCUAUUUAUACUUAUUUUGGUAACUCGAGAUUUCUUAAUUUUUGGAUGUGUGGAGCUGUCAGAAGAUCCUUUCCAGGUGUGGCUGUAACCACCUGCUUAUUGCUCACGUUUCGCCUCUUUGUAGAGGAAUGGUUUUGGAGGUUUUUUUUUUUUUGGUCUGAGAAUGGUUUUGGAGGUUCAAACACUAGGAUUUGUACCUGACUUCUGCUCCUUUUCAGAUUUUCCAUUA
rnacentral:lncRNA from 1 species